CCUGGCCUGCCUGCCCCACGGGAGAUGCCUGGGGCUGGCACAGCUGCCGUGGGCAGGCCCCCACGAGCCAUGUUAGCCCCACUGGCAGGGCUGUCCUGAUCUCUACGCAGGGCUCUCACCAGCCUGCAGGUUACAGCACCCAUAGCAGUCUCAGUUUGCCUGCCUGGAGAGCAAGGAAGCACCACUGAGACAGGGCACCCAUUUUGUUUCGUGGUCAGGCGAGGAGAAGUUUCCCCUGUUAACGCCAGGGUAAUCUCGGGAAUUUCCCUCAGAAAUACAAAGAUCCAGCGAAGUUAGGACUAAUCCUGGACCCAAACUGAAAAGGCUGGACUGGAUCCUACAGGCCUUGUACAAAACAAAACAAAACAAAACAAAACAAAACAAAACAAAUCAGUCCUGCUGACAUAGGUUGGAUUUUUGCCUGAGGGAGACCUACUAGCUUUGACACUUGGAAGGAUGGAAGUGGGAGAAGAGGAGGCUGGAAGCAUUAUUCCUCUCAGGUUCCUGUCUUCUCCUUCAUAGAGAGAUAAACUGAUCUGAUACUCCAUCUACAGGAGCUUCUCUGGUUCUAAAGUGCCCUACUUGACACUGAGAUCUCUGGACAUCAGUGCUUGCCAGAAUGACUGGGGAUUCACAACAGACUUUCGGAGUUGUCAGAUAUAGAACCAAAUGUUGCUGGAAACUGCCCUGCUGUCAGACACAUGCCAUGCUCUGGGGUAGCAGCUAUACUGCUGAUUAUACAGAACAGUAAUCAGCAGCAUAUAAAUGGGCUAAAUGUUCCCAUUUUCCCAUGAUGGGUUUAAAUCCACUACAAGAGCAUGGCAGUAAGCUACAGUUGGAAUGGCAUGCUCCCUCUGCUGAGGAAACUAGCUGGGUUCCUACCUGCCUGAUCACUGCUGGAUCAUUUGACUGGAGCCAUUCAUCUUCAGGUGAAGAGGAAACUGAAGCAUUGAAUGAAUUUGUGGUAGUUUUCAAAAUGCUAGCUUUUGGCAACUAGAAGCUCUCCUGAGUCUAAAAGCAGCAUCUGGAACAGACCAAAGGGUUUUGAUUCGGUACGUGGUGAAUCUGUAAAAGGGCAUUUGGACAUCUUGUCCCUGAUGGCCACUCUUUUUCCCUAGUUUUAGGUUGCCUCCUUAAAGUUGGUUCAGCAACACCAACACACAAUAAUGCUGAUGUAGUUUUUUCAUUUUGAGGUGUUAAUUUUCUUAGAAGACUUUGGAUGUUUUUU